GUUACCAACUCCGACCUCAGAUCGGACGAGAUUACCCGCUGAAUUUAAGCAUAUAACUAAGCGGAGGAAAAGAAACUAACAAGGAUUUCCCCAGUAACGGCGAGUGAAGCGGAAAUAGCCCAGCACCGAAUCCCUCAGUGUCACGCUGACGGGAACUGUGGUGUGUGGGACGCCACCAGUCGCAUCAGUGGGCACCGAAGUCCUCCUGAUCGAGGCUUCACCCAGAGCGGGUGUAAGGCCUUUGCAGGUGCCCUACUGUGCGGCCGCGAGCGUCUCAGGAGUCGGGUUGUUUGGGAAUGCAGCCCAAAGCGGGUGGUAAACUCCAUCUAA
rnacentral:rRNA from 1 species